ensembl:snRNA U6 U6 spliceosomal RNA
UUGCUCACUUCAGCAGCACAUAUACUAAAACUGGAACGAUGCAGAGAAGAUUAGCAUGGCCCCUGUGCAAGGAUGAAAUGCAAAUUCAUGAAGCGUUCCAUAUUUUU